ACGGUUAUAAAUCAACAUAUUGAUUUAUAAGCAUGGAAAUCCCCUGAGUGAAACGACGAAUUGCUGUGUGUAGUCUUUGCCCAUCUCCCACGAUGGGCUUUUUUUUAA
rnacentral:other from 1 species